CCUACGGGAGGCAGCAGUAGGGAAUCUUCCGCAAUGGACGAAAGUCUGACGGAGCAACGCCGCGUGAACGAUGAAGGCCUUCGGGUCGUAAAGUUCUGUUGUUAGGGAAGAACAAGUGUUAGUUGAAUAAGCUGGCACCUUGACGGUACCUAACCAGAGAGCCACGGCUAACUACGUGCCAGCAGCCGCGGUAAUACGUAGGUGGCAAGCGUUGUCCGGAAUUAUUGGGCGUAAAGCGCGCGCAGGCGGUUUCUUAAGUCUGAUGUGAAAGCCCCCGGCUCAACCGGGGAGGGUCAUUGGAAACUGGGAAACUUGAGUGCAGAAGAGGAAAGUGGAAUUCCAAGUGUAGCGGUGAAAUGCGUAGAGAUUUGGAGGAACACCAGUGGCGAAGGCGACUUUCUGGUCUGUAACUGACGCUGAGGCGCGAAAGCGUGGGGAGCAAACAGGAUUAGAUACCCUGGUAGUCCACGCUGUAAACGAUGAGUGCUAAGUGUUAGAGGGUUUCCGCCCUUUAGUGCUGAAGUUAACGCAUUAAGCACUCCGCCUGGGGAGUACGGUCGCAAGACUGAAACUCAAAGGAAUUGACGG
rnacentral:rRNA from 1 species